CUGCAGUAACUGGGAAUCUUUUCAAUUUUUUUCUUAUGUUACUUAUGAGACAGCCGGACUCCAGAUUUUUGAAUGAAGUGAUCAGUCGUUAAUGAGGCAAGAAGAUAAUCAGACUGUCAAGCAUGCUGGAGAUCCUGAUUCAAGGUCCAUAAAAAGCUUGUCAUUUAGUUUCUGCAUCAUUAACCGUGUGGCAGUUUGGCCUGGUGAAUGGAAAAUUUAUAGAAAUGACAAAAGUAUAAAGAUACAAUAUUUGAUGUAAUAAUCGCCCAUGUAAUGUAAAGUAAUACACUUCUGUUCGGACAUAAUGAGAUUGAAUAUAAACCAACCACCUGCAGUCAGUACCUGGUUCGAACCAACGACCCAGUGGUGGAGGGAUAUUGAUAAAGAUGGUCAGGCACCUGAACUACUUGACUACCGCAGUCUGUUCCAUCAUUCAAAAUAUUUCUGUACAUUUCUACUUUCAUGAUAAAAAAUUUCUUACCAGUCAAGUUACCUAAAUAACUUAAGGAAAUAAUUAAAUUUGUUAUUUUUGCAAUCAAGGAUUUCAGAAUUUCUGGAGUAUUGGGACACUGAUAGAGGCAGCCUCACAAGAUCUGGGUGUCUUUUUUAUUUUGUUUGAUACGGUAAAUCAUACAAUUUCACUACACAAAUACAUCAUAACACUGUAGCUCCAAGUCUUUUGACACAAUAAUUCAAAGGAUUAUGUAAUUCAAAUAUGAAUAUGAGAAUUUAAUAAAGUUUUACUGCAAA